GCCCAAAGAAGGGCUCACGAUGAAGGAGGUGAGAAGAAGUAUCAAGGUAGGUGCCAGAGGCUAUGAGAGGUGACGGGAGUAUGCUGAAAAUCACAGGAGACGGUGGAAUGCAAUGGUCAAGGGUUGAGUUUAAUUU